rnacentral:misc_RNA from 1 species
UGGAGAAAUCAUCUACAACAGUGAGGAAAUAUUUGUGACCAUGAAUGGCAGUCACAGUAAAUGGUCCCCAAAUGUCAACAUGUACAAGCUCAAAGACUUUAUUUGAUUUAGUAUUGCUAAUAGGAAAGGGUAAUUUUUUCUGCUUAGCAAAGUGGCAGAUAUCACAUACUUCAUGAGACAAUGAUGUAACAUCAGGAUACUUGGACUUUAUUGCAUUAAAUCUACUUAUAGAAGGAUGUCCUAAUCUAAAAUGCCACAAAUUGAAGCCAGGAUGGUUUGGUGAAGAAGAAUUUGCUGAAGAAACAGAAGCUAGAUGUGCUGGUGGAGGUUAUAAGACUGAUGAAGGCAUAGCAGGUUCUACCAAUGCAUAUAGACCAUUUGUAGCUCUAGCUGUACCAAUCUUCUUCAAGGUACUUAGGUCCUGUAUGAGACACUGAUUAUGAUGAAAAAGUAAAGAACAAGAAAGAGAGGAAGUAAGUUUAGAUACAGAAAUGAGAUUAAACUGAAAUUGAGGAAUGAAAAGAACUUCUGUGAGUAUGAAGGAAGGAGAAAAUUAAACUUUGCCAAAAAAAAGCUAUGACCUCAUUACCAUCGCGAAGAUUAACAGAAAUUGACUUAAUUCUUUUAUAGGUUGUAAAAUAUGUAAGUGAAAAAUGUAAUGUUAUCUGUUGCUCCUGUGUCCAAAAGCCAUAAAUCAGAUUUAACAGAAUAUGGCAGAAUAAAAGCAUUACCUGAAGUAGAUGGAGGGAUAGAAGGUAAGGAAUCUGGGUUAAUGACUGGAUUGAGGCUUACUUGGUUGACCAAAUGAGAAUCUAUAGAAGAACUAGACUGUUAAAUUAAAGCUAGCAAUUUGUGAUACUCUUCUGGCGUAAAAUUGUACCUGAAUGCUCAUGAUAUCUUUGUGAUACAUCAGAUUCAAUAGCCCUGUCAUCAGUAUCAGUUGAAACAUCGUUGAUCUUGACACCAGAAUUCCUGAAUUUAUGUCUAGGUGGGAAGCCAUGCUUCCUGUAACAUGUGUCUUCAGUGUGUCUAGGUCUUCCACAAUAUGUACAGACCCAGUGUUGUUUUGAUUGCCAAAUUUUCUAGUAUCAACAUCAGUACGCCUGCCAUACGCAAAUUUCUGAAAACCAGAUUGAUUUGACUUGCUAACAAGUAUAGUUGGUUCAGCAAGAAUUCCAGCAUUCAUCUGCCUUCCUUGCUGGACAACUAAGGAAAAAACCUUAUUUGUUGGAGGCAAGGAUUCAAUUAACAUGAUUUGUGAUCUAACAUGACCAAAACGUCAUUCAAGCCCUUUAAGAAUCUGAUAACAUAAUCAUUCUACCUAUAUGUUUUCACAGUAAUAAGAGCCACACAUCUACAUUAAACAGCACUAGUACAUUGAGGAAUGGGUCUAAAAUUCUCUAACUCAUCCCACAGAAUCUUCAAAUGAGUAAAAUAAUCCGUGACAGAAAGAUAACCUUGCUUGAGGCCAUAUAAUUCUUCUUGUAAGUCAGAAAUUCUAAACACAUCACCUUGAGAGAAACGAUCCCUGAGAUCCUUCCAUAUAUCUGCUGCAAUAUCUAUCCACAAGACACUCUGUGCAAUAGAUUGAGACAAUGAGUGUGUAAUCGAAGAAACCACAAUGGUAUUACAUCUCUCCCAAGCAGAAAACAAUGGAUCUGUGGGAGCUGGCAUUUUGAGGGUUCCAUCAACAAAUUUCAUCUUAUUUUUAGAUUGCAAUGCCAUUGUCAUUGCUCUUGCCCAAGAAUGAUAGUUAGAUCCUGAUAAAAUUGGAGAAACAAGCACCAGCGCUGGAUUCUCGUUGGGAUGCAAGAAAUAAGGGUUUGCCGGAUUGAUGUGAUGAUCAGGAAUUGAAUUUGCAGAUCGUGGAUUAGAAGAUUCGUUUGCCAUUACUACUGAUUGAACAAUAGAUCGAUGCAAACUUUGAUUGAAAAACAAGAAUCAAUUUGAAAAGAAGAAGAAAAGAAACUGACCGAGAAACAGAUCUCAGAUGAAAAAAAAAAAAACGGUUACUGAAAUGUGCUCUGAUACCAUAACAGGAUUUGGAAUUGACAAAUUGUAUUAUUUUUCUAAUUAGCUGAACAGCUUAAGUGUCACUUGUAUACAAGCCACUGAAGAAGGCGGGAAAAGAAACUAACUAAACAAAACUUGAACAAUAAGCUACAUUUAUCUAACAAACUAAUCUUCUAGAAUCAAUUACUCCAGCUCAGCUUUUGCUCGUAAUUUCACUGCAUUGUAACUCCUCUUUCUCUUGUAAUACUUUUAAAUUGAAUUAGUCCAUAGUGCAUAAUUAUGUAAAUAAGAUGAAAUAUUUAUCAUGUGUUCGAAUACAUCAAGUAAAUCUCAAAUAUUUCCAUAUUUUAAUGGAAGAUUCUAUCGUAACUUAGUUUUUUUACAAAAUAAAAUUUACUUUAUUAAUACUAUUAGAUCAAUUGAUAAAUUCUAAUUUAAUAGUAAAUAGAAUAAAGUAAAAAUAAAGCAAAUUAAAAAUUAAAAUUACCAAGGAAGACACCAUUUUAUUCAUGGAACAUAUUCAUUUGCCACAAUCCAUGUCUUUUCAAUAUUUGUUAUGUUAUUUCAAAUCGAUCGAUUACCAUGAACAGAGAAUAGUACCAAACAAUCAAUAAUUAAGAAGACAUAACACCCAUUCAUACCCAAAACCCUCAAAUGUCUUAAUGGGCUCGUUUGCACAAUUGCACAAAAGACAAAGACAAAACAACCGACUUGCAUAUAGUUGACAAAGGAAUUCCAUAUUUUCCUUUCCCAAACAAGCCCUUAAGAAAUGGCAAGAAGCAUAUCAUCACUAAGAAGCUGCAAAAAACCUCGCCAAAUCUUGAUCCAUAAUGCCCAUCACGCACCGACAAUAAACCCAUAACCAGUGCAAGAAAUUGUACCAUCAAAAUAGUUGUUCCAGGCAAAAAAAUGGGUGACCCGUCAAAGGUGAACCUACCAGCAUCACCAUCAUCAGUGAAAGUGGAUUCUUCUUUUCGAGUAAUUUCAAAUACUGUCUCUGAAAUGCCUAGGAUCUUCAAUAUUACACUUAAAAUUGCAAAUAACCAUGCACUUGUUGAGGUUAUUAUUGUCAUUCUCUGUCUAUUCCACCAUGCACGAAUGGAUAAUCCAGUUUCAAGAUAUUCUGAUAUGGUAUAUAGGAUGUAAAUCAAGAAAAGAGCAACAUAGCCGUAAAAGGCUGGUUCAUGGACCUGCAUUCAUGUAAUUUUUUAACAAAGUUCAAAUUAAAGUUUUAUAGCAAUUUUAAAGAAUACAAUUUCAAAUAGGAAUGUGCAAAGAAAAUAAGCUAUUAAUAGAAUUUAUACAUUGGAUUUUUUUUAUGAUUUGUUUUUUUUUAGUAGUAAUCAUUAAAAAAUAAUAAUGAUCAUUAAAAUUAAAGACACGUAAAAAAUAAAAAUUAGUAAAAUAAUAAAAUAAACAUAUCAAUUAAAAAUAAAUGCAUAUUUAAGUUUAUCUAUCUAAAAUUUGCGUAAAAGUUAAGAAUAUUGAUUUUGUUUAUAAAUAUAUUAUAGAAGAUUUGAGGGGGGUUACUAACAAAAAAAAUAAACACUUACUAUAUUUAUAUUUUUUUAUAAAAACUUUGACAAAUAAAAAAAAAUGAAAGAUCAAUUAAUAAAAAUUAAAUUUUAAUGCAUACAUUAAAAAUAAUUUAAAAGUAUUUAGGAAGGCCAAGGCAAUCCUACCCCUUUCUCUGUACCUGAUAUAUAGGACCACAACUUGACAAAGGAUAGGAUUACGCAGUGAUUGAUUUAUUGAGCUAUAAAAUAUAUGAGGAAUAUUUGAGACUUGGACUCACCUUGGGCAGAAAAUUAGAAUUGGUGAUGAGACAGUAGGCUGGCAACAUCACAUAGCAGAGCUCUGGAAUGGAGCGUAAUGCCCAAACAAGAAUCCACAUAUAAGCCAAACACUGCCCAAAUUGGAGCUUAGCCGUAAUGGUGUGAAAUGUGGGGUUGUUUUUGCAUAUCAAUAUUUCAAGCAAACCUAUGGCCCACCUCUUUUGUUGGGUCAAUGUGCUUGGCCCACCUGAUGGUGCACACCCAAGAAAGGCUGGAGGGUCUGGGUUGCAAUAUUUAGAUUUCCAACCUCUUGAAUGAAUUUUCAUACCAGUUAGUACAUCUUCUGUGUUGGAUCCAUAUUGCCAUCCAACCUCUGUACCCCAGCCAGUGCCAUACUCAUAACCACAACCAGCAACCUGGUAUGCUGCUGCCUCAACCAAAUUAGAAGGGGUAUUUGGAAUAUUGGUCUUCCCUUGCAAUGCUUGAGCAGCUGAUUUGAUAAAUUCUGUUGAGUUGCCAAAUAUUUUUUGCAGUUCUUCAUAAGCUAAAUUGCCAGUAACUGAAGUGAGAUUGCUCGCUUUACUUUCUACCUCAUCAGGACAUAAACCAUAAAUUACUUUUCUCCUGUGAAAACAACCUGUUCCACCAUAGCAUGGUCCUUGAAUUCCAUUCAUUCCACGUCCAAAAUAUUUUAUCAAAACCACUAAUUGGUUUCCGAAUGGAUCAUCUUUUAUUCCGUCGUAAAAAAUCUGUGGGCUCUGGACAAAUCCUGCUUCCCUUUCGUUCUUGGAACCUAACAACAAACACAUUGCAUGACGAACUAUCUGUGGAUUAUUGGCAAACAUGUCGCAGUCUACGUUUAACAUGAAGGGAGCAUUCGUCAUCAAUCCAGAGACUCUUGUUAGCACAUUCAUAGCACCUGCUUUAUAGUGAUGUGGAUGCUUUAAACGCUUCUCUCUCGAUACAUAAAUCAAACGAGGCAACCCAUCUGAUAGACCUUCCUUAUUUUCCCAUAUAAUCUUAAUUAUGCUUGGAUGGUUUCUGCGUUCAAUAUUGGAGAAGACAGCUAAAUCACCUGUCAGAUUAUAUGGUGGAAUGCCCUUUUUGACUGCAUCUUGGAUUUUGCGGCUAAGCCUCUCAUACUUAUCCUUCAUAUCCUUCCAUUCUUGCUGGAAUUCUAGUGAUUUAUCACUAGACAUUAUUGACUUAUCACUUGAAAAGUACAUAAAGGGAGCUCUCAAUUUAAUAUUAUGCUUUUUGCAAAAUGGAACCCAAAGCUUUGCAAACUUGGAGGUUUCAACGAGAGAAUAAAAGGUGAGAGGAGAACAGCCAUCGUCUGAUACAUAGCAAGCUAGCUUACGUGCUGGAUAAUCAACUGCCAAUAAAGAUAUCACUGUGUUCAUGGUGAUUAUAGGCGGUUCUAGCACAGGGUCUGCAGUAGUAACAAACAUAUCCAAAGGUGGAAGAAACUCUUCUGUCUUUUGAGGAAGGCGUUCUGGGUAUGUUUUGUGUUCCACUGGAUUCCAUUUUCCAUUAACAGUAAGAAACCAAAUGAAGGUAAACCAUGACUCGCAUAGGAGAGCAAGAAGCCAAGCAAAGCCAUUUUCAUUGAGAGUGAGAAGACGAUAAACAAGAAGAGAAGUUAGAAGUAAGAGGACAACAAUAUCCAAAGCUCUAUAUAUGUGGUUGUUAUAAGAAAUUGUUUCAUAUGGAGGAGGAGAAAUUGUAUUGGCCAUUCAGGGAAAAGAAGAAGCUAGUCAAGACUUCAGAUUAAUUGUUGGUAUUACUGGCAAUGCUAGCUCCAAGGUAAGGGUUACAUAUUUAUAGA